rnacentral:tRNA from 1 species
GCCGAGGUAGCUCAGUCGGUAGAGCAAUGGUCUGAAGAACCAUGUGUGUCGCGGGUUCAAGUCCGGCACGGCA